ACCAUAAUUUUGCACAUGCAACAGUUUCUCAAUUGUCAUAAAGUUCAGUCACUACAACAAUUUUACUAAUUAGGAUCAUUGGAUUGAGGACGAUGCCACUGACCAACACAAAUCACUAGAAGAAAGGGGAUUUGCCAGCAAUUGAGUGGAAAAUAGGGUUGGAUGGCGACCAAUGCCAACCUCGCAGGUGGUUACUUUUGUUUAUUUAUGUCAUCACGUGGUUUCUUUUCUAGUUUACCCAAUUAGGGUUGAUCCAUAGCUCGUGCAGACUGGACCACUGCACAAGACUCCAAAAUUUUGAGAGUUUCAAAAUAUCAGUUAUGUAUUGUCAGCAUUUACAAAUUAUUAAAUGUCUUGCAGUGAUUCAAUACUAGAAUGCAAUAAUUUAUAUAGAAAGUCCUACCCAAAUUAUUUAAGAUGGGCUCGACUCUUUAGUCAUGAGUUUGGAUGAAAUAAAAAGGGAAAUGUCACGGGUAAGUUUACUAAAGCAAAACAUAAAUUGCUUAAGUAUUGGACCAAAUUGUCUCUAGUGCUAUUAAACUCUACAUAGUGCAAUUUAGAAUUCUUUGGAUGUGUUAGUUUGCCAAUGGCUUGUGUGGUGUAUAUACUUACAUUUCUAAUUUUAUUAUUAUCAAUGCUACCAAUGUAACCGAA